rnacentral:rRNA from 1 species
GGUAGGGUAUUGGCUUACCGGGGCAACGACGGGUAACGGGGAAUUGGGGUUCGAUUCCGGAGAGGGAGCCUGAGAGACGGCUACCACAUCUAAGGAAGGCAGCAGGCGCGUAAAUUACCCAAUCCUGACACAGGGAGGUAGUGACAAGAAAUAACAAUACGGGACAAAGUCUUGUAAUUGGAAUGAUGGAGAUUUAAACCUCUUCCAGAGUAUCAAUUGGAGGGCAAGUCUGGUGCCAGCAGCCGCGGUAAUUCCAGCUCCAAUAGCGUAUAUUAAAUUUGUUGCAGUUAAAAA